rnacentral:rRNA from 1 species
UACGGAGGGGGCUAGCGUUGUUCGGUAUUACUGGGCGUAAAGCGCACGUAGGCGGCUUUGUAAGUUAGAGGUGAAAGCCCGGAGCUCAACUCCGGAAUUGCCUUUAAGACUGCAUCGCUAGAAUUGUGGAGAGGUGAGUGGAAUUCCGAGUGUAGAGGUGAAAUUCGUAGAUAUUCGGAAGAACACCAGUGGCGAAGGCGACUCACUGGACACAUAUUGACGCUGAGGUGCGAAAGCGUGGGGAGCAAACAGG